CGACUCUCGGCAACGGAUAUCUCGGCUCACGCAUCGAUGAAGAACGUAGCAAAAUGCGAUACUUGGUGUGAAUUGCAGAAUCCCGUGAACCAUCGAGUUUUUGAACGCAAGUCGCGCCCGAAGCCAUUCGGUUGAGGGCACGUCUGCCUGGGCGUCACG
rnacentral:rRNA from 1 species